UCAUUUUGAGUGUUGGAGAUCCUAUUAAAGACAAGAUUGUUCAAGGUGGAAACUAAUGACAAAUUAACUUGGCCUGCUAAACAUCUGCCUGAAGAAAUGAGAAGAUAUUUCCCCAUGCCAGGGGAUAGGUGCUCAGUGUAACAGCCAGUGAGGGGAUCAAGCACACAUUGCUAUUAGCUUUACUGACAGAAAGCCAAGAACAUAGAAGUAGUUGAGUCAGAUGAAUAUAUCCUGAGAUAGACUCUAGAAAAGCCAAAACUUAUGUAACAUGUAACACACCUAGACAGGUGCACACUCAUUAAACAGCAGCAUAAUGUAAGGAACGAUGCUUGCUUGGCCUACACUCAUUAUAAAACAAUCUUAACUGAAAUAAUCAGUUAAAGUUAUAGCUAUAUAUCAUUAAUAAUACUGAAGGAGAGCCAUAAGCCAAGGCAUGAAAAAAACAUUGAGAAAAAUAAACUUAUCCUAUGGAAAAAUAAUUUUAUACAUGUAGAGAAAAACAUCAGCAGGUCUGCCCCCACACUCCCUCUAUCCCUGCUAAUAUACGAGGCUUGAUUAGGAGAGAAAGUUGAGGCCAAUUGGGAUGGAGAAGGCUGGAUGCUAAGAGAGAGUGGGCAUAAUGCUGAGAUCUCAUAGGAUACUUNNNNNNNNNNNNNNNNNNNNNNNNNAUGAGGAAGGGAAAAAUAAUUUCUUGUCUCUCCUGGGAAGAAAGCAAGUUUUACUCCUUGCUAGGAAUUUCUGCUCAAGCAUGUAAGAAAGAAAAAAGUGGAAAUGGUCACAGUACCUCUUACAGAAGCUUGAUUCUCUUGUGUUGAAUAAUAUGAAAUUGUUCUUUUUUGAGGGAGCAAAAGUGGUUAAUAUCAGCAAUAUCAUAAGGUUCACUAAAUGCAUUCCACCUAGAUUUCUUGGAGAGGUAGCUUUCUUCUCUGAUCCUUUUGGUGUGAGGAGUAAGUUUCAUAUUGAGUUUCAAAGUGAAGACUUUCCCAGGGUGCAUCACACUAUUAAACAAGUCCCCUGAUGCACAGCCUGGGCAUUUAACUCUUCCAUCUUUCCAUGCCACAUGAACAAAACUCAAUAAUUUCCUUAAUUUCAGGAAAAAGGCUGCUUCAGUCAAACCUAGAAGAUGGCAUUUCUUUAUAUUUUUUCAUUUUAAAAAUGAUUUAUAUAUAUAUAUUUUUAAUAUAUAUAUUUUCAUUUUUUUAAUGAUUUAUAUAUCAUUAAAAAAAACAAAUUGUGAGUGCAUGGUAGUAUUUAAAUUAAAACAACACUUUAUGUUUUAAAAGUACAAGAAAAUAGACUCUUGAUUCUCUCCAAGUUCUCCUCUAACUAAAAGAGGGGCUGCACUCCAAAGACAGAUAACCUAGGGACAGGUGAGGGUCUCAUGCGUGCCGUUGGCCAUGUUAACCUAAUGCAGUGAUGCGCAGUCACACUGGCAAGCACUGUUCACUAGGGGAAAUAAAACUAGUCACUGAAAUAAGGCUUUUUAAAAUGAUUUUUGUUUUCAGAGCAAAGAAGCUUGAAAGCAAUGACCCAUUUAUCCUAAGGGAAAUAGCAGACAAUUUCCUACGCUCUGAGAGGAUGUACUAAACAGCAUGGAAAUCGUAAGGUAAAUACCAUCUGAGAUGUACCUGCAGAAGAGUUACUUAUAACACAUUAAGAACAUUCUGCCAACCCCUCAGCUUGGUGUCAGUUUGACCCUGAGGCGGCACUUGACAGGGCUGCUUUAAAGAAAAACCCAUCCACUAUGCAAGACAACGCAGACGCCAACCUACCUUCUCCCUGCCGCUUCCUGGAGGCAAAGACCUCACUGGAUCCAGGAAACACUGUUGCAGGAAGAUGGUCACACAUUCCUUCAGGGCCUCUCAGGUUUGCCAUGGGUGCUUAUAACCUAGACAACAAGACCCGUGAAAAGAAAGUUUGGUGGGAGCUGACGAGAUAAUUUAGGAGAAGUUCUUCCAACAAAUGGGAUGCAUGUUCAAAUAAAAAGAGCCAGGCCCUAUAAAAACUAAACAAGCAACAAUCUGAAAGGUAGGGUCAGCAGCAGAGCUACAAAAAAGGUUUUGAAAGAAUGCUGAGACGAUAAAUAUAAAGCCAGCUGGCUGUGUUGACCUGUCUUGCCUCAUAAGGGUUUUCUGUCUUCUUGAUUUACUGUAAGAAUUGUUCUAACCCUUUCCAGCUUCAGGAAGAAAAGUAAAAUGUAUGUCUUCUCUGGAGCUGUAUUCAAGAUUUAUGUAGAGCAUGUUAUGGAAAUAUUGGCUUUUUUCUUUACCUUAAUAGAAUAUUGUAAUAAAAGAUUUGAUAUUGAUAAACAUUAAAAAAUAAUCCAUCCUCCAAAA
ensembl:lncRNA